rnacentral:tRNA from 1 species
UACAAGAUGCCUGAUUAAAAGGAUAAUUUUGAUAGAAUUAAACAUGUGGUCCCCCCCCACUCUUGUAA